GAGCGGCGGCGCGAGUGCGGCGCGCGGGUGCGUGUGCAAGGGGGCGCGUGUGCAAGCGGGGGUGGUGUGCGUGGAAGGGGGCGCGUGUGCGUGUGCAAGGGCGUGCGAGGGCGCCGCUCCUCCCCUACACAUUGAUCUUAUUUGAUCGGGGGGGGCCGCCCCCCCCGGCGUGAGAAGACCCCUCCUGCGAAGCCCCCCGCGGGCGCUGUGCAGCGAGGCCGCCUCGGCGGCGCGGACGUGAUGAGUCGAUCAGAUAGACGAGGCCGGAGCCCGGCCCGCCCGGGCCCGGCCCCUGAGUACGAGGCGAUUCUGAUCCGC